ensembl:processed_transcript
CAGGAACACAUUUUGCUUCAGCAAUUUUGAAUUUUGUUAACAUGUAUUCAAACUAAAAGUACUGGGUUGAUGUGGGUGUUUUAUCUGGGUUUUUUUUAAGCUGCUACUGUAAUCUGUUAAAUGAAUAAAGCAGUUAUUUAUUAUUAUUAUUAUUAUUUAUUUUUACAACAUUUAAAAUGUUACAAGUUUUUUAUUUUGGUAAUGUCUGUUUAAAAUGAUAAGAAAAUAACUGGUCCACUGCUGAAUCUCUUUUUUUUUCUCUCUUAGCCACCUGAUGAUGAGAAAGACAUUUUCAAUAAGAAGAGUCCACAGUCACAAUAACAAGAUCAUUGAGCUGUCCCCUAAUUGUGGUCAGCUACAUGUUUAGUCUCUUAUGUGCAAAACAUUAUGUAGCCUAAGGAAGCAGCCCUGACUCUGUAGUUUAUAUAAAGGAGCAUGCUGAGUAACUAUCCAGAACGUAGGUACAAAGCAGAAAAAAGGGCACCAAGCAGAAACAUACCAUCUAAACUCCUUCGAUUCCUGUCAGACCAGAAAGACUUUCAGAAUCCUUGGAAGAUUUAAAG